UUCUCGUCCAAGUCUGUGAGCUGACACGUUACCUGGCAACCUGCAUCUCUCUGGAGCACCACUCACUCUCCAGGUCUGGACGACUGUCUGCAGCAGUACGUGUGCGUGUUUGAGCGUGGAGGUGUGUGUGGGGAGAGGCUGCUGAGGAUCAGCCACGCCGAGCUGGAGGAACUGGGAGUUUCUCGAAUUGGACACCAGGAGCUCAUCCUGGAGGCUGUCGACUUGCUCUGC